rnacentral:rRNA from 1 species
CGUCCGAUUAGCUAGUUGGUGAGGUAAUGGCUCACCAAGGCGACGAUCGGUAGCUGGUCUGAGAGGAUGAUCAGCCACAUUGGGACUGAGACACGGCCCAAACUCCUACGGGAGGCAGCAGUGGGGAAUAUUGGACAAUGGGCGCAAGCCUGAUCCAGCCAUGCCGCGUGAGUGAUGACGGCCCUAGGGUUGUAAAGCUCUUUCACCCACGACGAUAAUGACGGUAGUGGGAGAAGAAGCCCCGGCUAACUUCGUGCCAGCAGCCGCGGUAAUACGAAGGGGGCUAGCGUUGUUCGGAUUUACUGGGCGUAAAGCGCGCGUAGGCGGAUCUUUAAGUCAGGGGUGAAAUGCCGGAGCUCAACUUCGGAACUGCCUUUGAUACUGGAGAUCUUGAGUUCGGGAGAGGUGAGUGGAACUGCGAGUGUAGAGGUGAAAUUCGUAGAUAUUCGCAAGAACACCAGUGGCGAAGGCGGCUCACUGGCCCGAUACUGACGCUGAGGCGCGAAAGCGUGGGGAGCAAACAGGAUUAGAUACCCUGGUAGUCCACGCCGUAAACGAUGGAUGCUAGCCGUUAGGCAGCUUGCUGCUUAGUGGCGCAGCUAACGCUUUAAGCAUCCCGCCUGGGGAGUACGGUCGCAAGA